UCAACAGGGGGGCCCGUAUCGGCGGGCUGAGAUUUGGGGACCACCCCAUGACCCUUCGACCUGAUCUGGAUCAUGCCAGCGUAGGGAGUGACAUU
rnacentral:ncRNA from 1 species